rnacentral:rRNA from 1 species
GACGAGCGCUGGCGGCGUGCCUAAUACAUGCAAGUUGAGCGAUGAAGAUUGGUGCUUGCACCAAUUUGAAGAGCAGCGAACGGGUGAGUAACGCGUGGGGAAUCUGCCUUUGAGCGGGGGACAACAUUUGGAAACGAAUGCUAAUACCGCAUAACAACUUUAAACAUAAGUUUUAAGUUUGAAAGAUGCAAUUGCAUCACUCAAAGAUGAUCCCGCGUUGUAUUAGCUAGUUGGUGAGGUAAAGGCUCACCAAGGCGAUGAUACAUAGCCGACCUGAGAGGGUGAUCGGCCACAUUGGGACUGAGGCACGGCCCAAACUCCUACGGGAGGCAGCAGUAGGGAAUCUUCGGCAAUGGACGAAAGUCUGACCGAGCAACGCCGCGUGAGUGAAGACGGGUUUCGGAUCGUAAAACUCUGUUGGUAGAGAAGAACGUUGGUGAGAGUGGAAAGCUCAUCAAGUGACGGUAACUACCCAGAAAGGGACGGCUAACUACGUG